AUUCAUUGCUUCUGGUCCUCCUCUUACCUUUUUCUUCGACAGAUAUUUCUACCACUCAAAACUUUCCGUCUGCACUGCAUGUUGAAUUGUUUUGGCAAAAAGUACACGUAACCACAAAUACGUGUUUGAUUUUUUAUUUCCGGUUUGAAGGUCAAAUUAAGUGUAUGUUUGAAAAAUAUGACGAUUUAAAAUUGUGAAAAGAAAAUUACUUUUUGCGUGGCAAGUGAAGGUGUGGCCCGAUUCUAAAGAAGCUGGGCACUCGAAUUGACAACAGAAUCUGUUAAACUUGAUGACCAAAGAACCUUCUUUUCCCCAUCUAUUACUACCAGAUUGCCGUCUUCGGAUAUGGUAAGGGGCUUGUUUCUGUUAGCAACCCAUAUGAAAGUGGGUGCAGAGAUUUCAGCAUACCAAAUCCUAACAUAGCGAUCGGUAGAAUUUGGAGGGCUGAAAAAAUCCCAGUAUGAAGUUACCGCCAUUAGAGAUUAUGGUUUCACGGUCUUUGAUGACUGUUAACUACAGAAGGCAGUCGAAAUCUGUUAACUGCUCCCAUAUUUUCAGUUCUUCCGUCAGAAAAGCAAAUGCGAGUAUUUGCACCAGCUCCAGCCGGUUUCCGUAAGGUAAUAUUAGCAACAAAUAUUGCUGAGACAUCGGUGACAAUACCUGGAAUCAGGUAUGUUAUAGAUCCUGGAUUUGUAAAAGCACGCUCCUAUGAUCCGGUCAAAGGGAUGGAAUCCUUGGUCAUUGUUCCAACAUC